rnacentral:rRNA from 1 species
GACGAACGCUGGCGGCGUGCUUAAUACAUGCAAGUCGAACGGAAAGGCCCUGCUCUUGUGGGGUGCUCGAGUGGCGAACAGGUGAGUAAAACGUGAGUAGCCUGCCCUUGACUUUGGGGUAACUUCAGGGAAAUCGGGCGCAUAUCCGAUAUGAACUCCUGCUGCAUGGGGGGGGAUGGUGAAAUUCGGCGGUUGGGGAUGGACUCGCGGCUUAUCAGCUUGUUGGUGGGGUAGUGGCGUAACAAGGCUUUGAGGGGUAGCCGGCCUGCGAGGGUGACAGGCCACAUAGGGACUGAGAUAGGGCCCAGAGUGCUACGGGAGGAAGCGGUGGGAAAUAGUGCGAAAUGGGCGGAAGCCGGGUGCAGGAACGCCGGGUGCGGGAUGACGGCUGUUGGGUUGUAAACCGGGUUCGCCUGUGACGAACAGUGAGUGACGGUAAUUGGUAAGGAAGCAACGGCUAACUACGUG